GCCCAUUUCCUCCUCUUUGGGUGUUUACUGGCGCCUGAAUUUCACAGGAACCUUUGGAAGUGUGUACUGACAAAGAGCAUGCAAAAUUGUUCCUGCUUCAGGGACAGUUUAGGAAGAAAAUGAUACUGUGCCUGCCUGGACUUCACAAGCCCUGGGCUCAGGGACACAGGAAAGAGAUACCAGGUGUCAAGUCCACAGGGAGAGGCAGGAAGGCAGGCAAGAGGAGGGAGACAUGGCUGAUGCCAGGCCCAGCUUCCAGAUCCAGCUCUGGGGAGGCUGAUGAAUAGACCCUUUAUCUAAGCAGAAGGGUGGGGGCUGCAGAAAGGGGUCUCAGGUAACAGGAGUCUCAGAACAAGCUCAAAAGAUCUCAUCCUUUUCUUCACAGAAGAAAUUCUAGCUGGAGAGAAGCUUCUUAGAAGGUCCUUAUUUCUCAGCCAUUUUCCCAGGACCCUCAUUUGGGAGGUCCCUCCUCAAUCCCACAGACCUUGCUGGGUGACCUGGAGACAUCAUCAGAAGUGCAGAGUCCAUUAUGGUUAAAGGCACUGACUUUUGGCCUCCAAUUCCCAGCAAUUCCAGUGACUGGCUAGAUGCCCCAGGCAAGUCAUUUCACCUGACUCUCAGCUUCCUCCUAGCAGAGAAUAAUCAGAGUCACCUCACAGAUAAGCCUGGAGGACCAUAGAACAUUGCUCAGCAAAGGUAAGAGCUCUCAAUAAUGGUUAGAUAUUAUUUUAUUGAGAAUAAAGACAGGGGCCAGAUGUGGUGGCGUAUGCCUGUAAUCCCAGCGGUUUGGGAGGAUGAGGCAAGAGCAUCGUGAGUUCAAAGGCAGCUUCAGCAAAAGUGAGGUGCUAAGCAAUUCAGCAAGAUCCUCUCUCUAAAUAAAAUACAAAAUAGGGCUGGGGAUGUGGCUCAGUGGUUGAGUGCCCCUGAGUUCAAUCCCAAGUACAAAAAAAAAAAAAAGAAAGAAAGAAAAAGAAUAAAGGGAGGAGGGCUGGGGUUGUGGCUCAGUGGUAGAGCGCUUGUCUAGCAUGUGUGAGGCUCUGGGUUUGAUUCUCAGCACCACAUAUAAAUAAAUGGAUAAAAUAAAGGUCCAUCAACAAAUAUAUAUAUAUACACACACAUACACACACACACACACAUAUAUAUAUAUAUAUAUAUAUGUGUGUGUGUGUGUUGUGUGUGUGUGUAUGUGUGUAUAUAUAUAUAUGUAUAAAAUUUUUUUAAAAAAGGAUAAAGACUUGCUAGGUGCGGUGGCACACACUUGUAAUCCCAGCAGCUCAGGAGGAUGAGGCAAGAGGAUCGUGAGUUCAAAGCCAGCCUCAGCAACAGUGAGGCACUAAGCAACUCAGUAAGACUCUGUCUCUAAAUUAAAAAAUUAAAAAAUAAAAGAGCAGGGGGUGUGGCUCAGUGGUUGAGUGCCCCUGAGUUCAAUCCCCGGUACCCCUACCCCCCCAAAAGAAAAAAAGUCCUGGAGAGCCUUUGCUCUGAAGCUGGGGUCUCACUUUCCUGCUUUUCUCAAUAUCUUAAUGACUGUUCCGGGAUUAUCAGAAAAGAAUCGGGCUUCCCCUCCCCCAGAGCUGUGAAACCAAGUGGCAAAGCUUGCUCAAGCUCCUGAGUCAUUCAGCAAAACCGGCCCAAGAUAAUCAGUGGAUCAAGGAAACUAGAUGCAGAGUGGGAAAACCCCAGCCACAAAGCUGGGGCCUCCUCGGAGAGCAGUUCCCUCUGCAGGCCUUUCUGCUUUCACUUGGGCUCCACAAAUAAGACAGCACCUGGCAGCUGAAGCCUUCUCAGGCCCUCCCAUCCCCAGAUGAAGGCAUUAGUUACACCUGGGUCUCUAGCCAGCAGCCAGGCCUUCCCCUGGCAUCUUGUUGGACACAAACUCUGCUUUUGGACUAAUUCUCUCCUUCUCUCCACACCCCAGUGCUCGAAGAGUUGCCAUCCAGUCUCCCAUCCUCCCUACUCACUCAUUUUUCAGCCCAGGGUUUCUGGUUUCUGCACAACCACUUUAUGACAUGCUUAUCCCAUUCACUGAUAAAUUCUUAAUUGCCAAAUCCAAAAAGUUGUAUCCAAGCCUUCUUCCUUCCUCUAAAUAUGUGCUGCUGAUGAUCACUCUUCUUUUUAAAUGGACAGACCUCCGUGGGCUUCUGUGAGGCCACCACCCCUGGUUCUCCUCCUGCAACCAGCAUUUCUGGCAGCUCUCUGUGCCUUUAGCAGUACUCCUUGUGGUUCUACUGGUUAGCCCCCUUCCCUUCCACCCCUCAGGCCUGCUCCCACAGUUAGCCUGUGCCUGUGUUUUCGACUUCUCUCUCUUAACCAGUGACUUAGUGCAUAUAUCAAGCCCACAUCUUUCCCCAAAGGAUGCCUGCUACCGCCUGUUACCAAGCAGCUCUACCAGCAUGACCCCAGGCACAGCACAGCAAGCUCCACAAAACACAAAGGAACUCUUUAUCUUCCCCCAACCCUUCUUCUCUUGGUAUUCUGGAUUUUUUAAAAAUUAUUAUUUAUUUAUUUUUGUGGUGCUGGGGAUUGAACCCAGGACCUUGUGGAUUUGAGGCAAGCACUCUACCAACUGAGCUAUAUCCCUAGCCAGUAUUCUCAAUUUUGAUGAAGGACACCACUUUUUACUGUUACCUAAGUCAGAGGGUCUUGCCCCCUCUCAGCCCAUUACGUACUUUUUUUUUUUUUUUUGACUCUAGGGAUUGAACUCAGGGUGCUUAACCACUGAGCUAAAAUCUCAACGCUUUUUAUUUUUUUAUUUUGAGACAGGGUCUCACUAAGUUGCUUAGGGCCUUGCUAAAUUACUGAGGCUGAUUUUGAACUUGAGAUCCUCCUGCCUCAGCCUCCCAAGUCACUAGAGUUGGCAUCAUGUUCUUAACAACUUAUAAAUUAAUCUCCCUUCUCUCUAACCCACUAUGUCUACUUUAGUAGAGGCCUUUAUUACAUGUCUGGUGUAAUAAGUGGGCACCAGCCUUCAUUUCCUUCCCCUUGUACUAGGCUCUUCUUGGAGUGUCUGCCCAUCUACAGUUCUUUUCCUGAGAACCUGCUAUUUCCCACAAACCUUGCUGAAGAGGUGCCCUGGGUCCCAUGUGGACCUCACUGAUGCAGUCUGCCCUGCUAUGGCCAUAGUACUUGGAAUCAGAGAUCCACAUUUGACCCAAUCUGGGAUGAAUUUUGUCUCUAGGGACUCUGAAACCAGGCCAAAGUGACUCAAGUUCAAAUGCCCCCAAGGAUCACAACAGUAAUGAAAAGGAGUGAAACACCCAAUGAAGGACAAUAGGGAAGGCAGCAACCAAGGCAAUGAGAGUGUGUGCCUGGGCUCCAGGCAGCAGCUGCUACUCUGCUCUAGCAGAUGGUUGCCAUGGGAAUAUAAGACCAGAGUUGUCAGAUAUUCUGAUUUUCCAGAUUUUUAUUUGAAGUUUCCCAAUUUUUUAAUUUGGGGCACUAAUUCAUUUUUCUAAAUGCCACAGGCUAAGCAUAUUUUUUGCAUCAUAUUUGGCCUACAGGGCUGUCACUUUGCAAUUGGUGCCAAGGAGUCAGGUUUAGGCACUGGACCCAAAGCUGAACACAGUCACUUCCUGCCAUGUAUAUGGAAAACCAGAGAAAACUCUCUCUCUCUCUCUCUUUUUUUUUUUUUUUUGGUGCUGGGGAUUGAACCCAGGGCCUUCUGCAUGUGAGUCAAGCACUCUACCAACUGAGCUAUAUCCCCAUCCCUCUCUUUUUUUAAUAUCUUUUAUUUAUUUUUUUAAAGAGGGGGGAGAGAGAGAGAGAGAGAGAGAGAGAGAGAGAGAGAGAGAGAGAGAAAGAAAGAGAAUUUUAAUAUUUAUUUUUUAGUUUUCGGCAGACACAACAUCUUUGUUUGUAUGUGGUGCUGAGGAUCGAACCCGGGCCGCAUGCAUGCCAGGCGAGCGCGCUACCGCUGAGCCACAUCCCCAGCCCUAUUUUUAUUUUUAUGUGUGUUAAGGAUUGAACCCAGUGCCUCAUGCAUGCCAGGCAAGUGCUCAACCACUGAGCUACAACCCCAGCCCCUCUCUCUUUUUAAAUUUAUUUUUUAUUUUUAAUUUUUUGGUACUGGGAAUUUAACCCAGGAUACUUAUCCCCUGAGCUACACUACUGGCACCACCACCCCCACUUUUUUUUUUGAGGCUGGCUUCAAAUUUGUAAUCCUCCUGCUCAGCCUCCUGGAAGUCACUGGGAUUACAGGCAUGAGCCACAGCACCCCACUCUGAUUCACUCUUUUUAAAUUAUUUUUUAAUUUGUUCUAAUUAGUUAUACAUGACCAUUGAAUGCAUUUGACACAUCAUAUCUAAAUGGAGUAUACUCAUUCUUCUAGUUGUACAUGAUGUAGAGUUACACUGGUUGUGUAAUCACUUAUGCACACAGGGUAAUAAUGUCCGAUUCAUUCUACUAUCCUCUGAUUCACUCUUAUAUCCCCUGAACACAGAGAGGAGUACAUAUAGAACCUUCAAUAAAUGUAUAUCAAAUAAAAGAAUGGCUGGAAUCAGUGGCGAACAUCUGUAAUUCUGGUGAUUUGGGAGGCUGAUAUAGUCAGAUGGCAAGUUUGAGUCUAUCUUCACUAACUUAGUGGGACCUGUCUCAAAAUUUAAAAAACAAAAAGCACUGGGGAUGUAGCUCAGUGGUGAAGUGCCCUUGGGUUCAACCCUCAGUCCUGCAAAUAAUAAUAAACAUGUAGUAAAAGAAUAAGAGAAUUUUAUUUACUUUCCUCCAGCGUUUUUCAACAUAUCCCAGGAGGUGAUUGAUGAACAUUUUAAUCCUCUGUUUCUAAAAAUAGGUUCCAGAAUCUCUGUAAUUUUUUUUUUCUUUUUUGAGAUUCUGGAGAUCAAACCCAAGGCCUCAUGCAUGCUAGGCAUGUACUUCACCACUGAGCUACACCCCAGCCUUGGAAUCUCUGUUAAUAACACUCCAUUUUUCUUUGGGGGAACAGUAACACCUCAGCUCUGGAAUGAUCAUGUAACCCAGGGCUAGCCAAUCAGACAACUGUCCCCUGGUCACAGGGAUUGGUUCAGAAUAAGCUCUGGCUCAAUCAAAGACAAUCAGAACUGAAACUAUCGGAAAGGGGAAAUUUGCUUCCCCCUGAGAAAACUAAGUCAUGCGACGGAGCUGCUCGAAGCCACAUUAUCACCACAAGGGAAAAAGCCUCCCUGGGAAUGAAGUACACACAGAAGAAGGUCAAACUGAGAGAUGAAAAGAGAUAGAUGGUUCCUGGCAGUGUUUUUGAGCAAGUGGAUCCAGCUGUGCCUGAAAUCAAGCCCUUGACUUUUCUGUUAGAGAUAAAAAGUUCCCUUUUUUGUUUAAGUAAACUUGAGUUGGGUUUCCAACCCUUUUCCUCUAAUAGAAUGCUGUUUAAUAUUGGGGUUUUAUACAGACAGGGAGACAAAGUAGACACCUUUAUAGGAAUCUGCCAGCCAGCGAUGAUCCCUGUCCUUUAAGAACUUCCCCCGGCUGAUAGCCAUGUGUGUACUACCUAGUGCUGCCCAUGAAGGCAACCACUGUUUGGAUCAGAAGUGGACACAUAUCAAAAGGUUAUCAGAUCAGAUUCUCUCUCCUGGGGAUUUGGGUUUAGAAUAAGAGAUCCCAGCUCAGUCUAGGCUGCAGACCUAAAGUGAGCGGAUGUAAAAUUGGAAGCUGGAAGAAGGCCACAUUCAUGGCAAGGCAAAGAACCUGAUCUGCUAAAGGAGAAGAGUGAGCUAGAUGCACUUACGGAAGCAGAGGCUGGAGGCCAUGAUUUCCCAGAGAAAGAGAAACAGAGAGAACACUGCUUCCUCAUUCCUCCUGAGACUAAUUAUUUUUUCUCUUGGGCUCCAUGAGACUUCUCUGUGUUCGUGUAAUUCCCUCCCCCACCAUUACUCCUCCUUUAAAAAAAAAAAAAACAAAACUUAAAAUAGCUCUAGUGUUGUUUUGGGUUUUGUGUUUACUUGCAACUGAAAGGUUUUUUGUUCUGUUUUGUUUUUUUGUGGUGCUGGGGAUCAAACCCAGGGCCUCUUGCAUGCUAGAUGAGUGCUCUACCACUGACCUACACCCCCAACAAUUUUAGUUAUUUUUAUUUUAUUUUGAGACAAGGUUUGGCUGAGUCCCUGAGGCUGGCCUUGAACUUGGGAUCCUCCUGUCUCAUCCUCCUGAGUGGCUAGAUUCAAAGGUUAUCAGGCGACUAUCCUAGGAGUAAGUCUACAGCUAAGCUGUCCUGUUCCCUAAGCUGACAUUGAUGCUGAAUCCCUGAAUCAAGACACCCAAACAUCAAAUUCCUCUCUGUGAAACCUUGGCCAAAACACCUGGAUUCACAGGACUGGCUUCCUCCUCUGCAAAAUGAGAAUAAUCAUCCCUAUCUUAACGGGUUGUUAGGAAGACCACAUGAAAAAAGGUGGAAAUAAGAGCCUGGCACUUUGCUGGGCACAGGGAAGCCAUGUUACCUUGUGUGAAUGCAGAAGCAGGAUCCAAGCCUAGAGCCAGACUACUGGUAGGUCCCAGCCAGGACCUGAACAAAAAGCAUAAAGAACAGCCCUUCUCCCCCUCAGCACCUUUUCAUCUCACUUGUACCAAAUUUUUCAAAAGCACAGGGAGCAAGGGAGUAUCUUUGUUUUUUCAAAAUGCCCAUUCUGGAAAUCUAAUCUAAUGAUAUAAUCAGACAAGAGAAACUACAUAGGCCGAAGGAUGCUCACUGCAAUAGUGUUUUGUUUUGUUUUGGUUGGGUUUUUUUGUGUCCUGGGGAUUGAACUCAGGGGCACUUGACCACUGAGCCUCAUGCCCAGCCCUAUUUUUUAUAUUUUAUUUAGAGACAAGGUAUCACUGAGUUGCUUAGCACCUCUCCUUUGCUGAGGCUGGCUUUGAACUCAUGAUCCUCCUGUCUCAGCCUCCCAAGCCACUGGGAUUUCAGGUAUGCGCCACCGCACCCAACAUGAUAGUGAGAUAGUGUUUAUAGUAUAGAAAAAAACUGUCAAUGACUUAAAUGUCCAGCAUUACAUGUGGUACAUACAUACGAUGAGAUGUUAUAAAGAUGUGGAGGAGAAAAAGACAUCGUAUUUUUAAACAAACACAAAGGGGAAGGAGAAUGCAAAAUGUAUGGGGUAUAAAAAAAAAUGUAUGGGGUAUAAUGCAAAAUUUGUCUGAACUUUUAAGGUAAAAAGCACACUAUUUCAGAGAAGUUUCUCCUGUUCUGUUACAUUCCAGUUCCACACACAGUCUCACUACUACCUGCCUGGCUAAGCAUUCAUCUUCUCUGCCUUUGGGGUUACUGGGGUAGAAAAAUUUAUGAAGCAUUUAUGUAAGUACAAGUCCUGAGGCCUCUAACAUUAAAGAUAUUGACAAGGAUAGAUAACCACACAUUUUCUGAGUUAAAAAAAAUCAGGUUACAAAAACAUUGCCAAAAAGUGAACAGUGGUCAUACUUUGUACUUUUAUGUAUUAUUAGAAGUUUUUGUAAUGUCAUGUACUAUAUUUAUGGAAAAUAUAUAUAUAUAUAAUGAAGCUAUUUUCAUGAGAGGUGGUCCAUCUUGAUUUUAUACUUUUUAUCGUGUUCUCUAAUAUGUUCAACUAGAUUUCCUCUAAUGCAUCCUUCUUCUUCAGGAAUAUAAUUUACCUGGCUGUCCUGUCCUCUUGGAAGCUGCUCCACACAAGAGCUUCUUUGUACGGAGAAGGCCCUUCAACAGCCUGGAACGCUAGGCAGCUCAUUACUACCCUCUCGUGGUCAGAACAGGUCAGCACCGGAUCUAGCUAAACAGCUUGCUCAGGACAUCCUGAAAGCCAAGGUCAACCCCAACAGGCUGACUUCUGGCCUACCCACCGCAGUCAGUGUGCUGCACACCAGCAUCAGUGGUUCAGCAUCCCACUCCCAAACAGGCCAUGACCCAGGCUUAGCCAGGCUGAGCCUAAUGAUUGCAAAUCUGGCCAAUGCUGUCUACUCCAAGCCAGAGGCUCCCAGAAGAUGCCCUUUUCCAACUGCCAAAGCAGAAUGAUGGAGAGCUCUCCGGUCCGCCAGAGAGCACUGAUGGUCAGGACUGGGCCUGGAGAUGGCAUAGAGCAGGGCUGCAGGAAGACAACUGCAAUCCUUCUAAUCACAAAACCCUUGCUCUCCUACACCUCUUUUUUUCCUUUCAAAAUAUUGCCCAAGGCAACUUG
rnacentral:lncRNA from 1 species